rnacentral:rRNA from 1 species
AUGUNAUCNGUACGAGCGCACCCCUAUCCUUAUUUGCCAGCGCGUAAUGGCGGGGACUAUAAGGAGACUGCCGGUCAUAAACCGGAGGAAGGCGGGGACGACGUCAAGUCAUCAUGGCCCUUAUGGGUAGGGCUACACACGUGCUACAAUGGGUGGUACAGAGGGUCGCCAAAGCGCGAGCUGGAGCCAAACCCUUAAAACCAUUCGUAGUCCGGAUUGGAGUCUGCAACUCGACUCCAUGAAGUCGGAAUCGCUAGUAAUCGCGAAUCAGAAUGUCGCGGUGAAUACGUUCUCGGGCCUUGUACACACCGCCCGUCACAUCAUGGAAGUGGGUUGCACCAGAAGUGGUUAGUCUAACCUUCGGGAAGACGAUCACCACGGUGUGAUUCAUGACUGGGAUGAAGUCGUAACAAGGUAGCCCUAGGGGAACCUGGGGCUGGAUCACCUCCUU